rnacentral:rRNA from 1 species
UACAGAGGGUGCAAGCGUUAAUCGGAAUUACUGGGCGUAAAGCGCGCGUAGGCGGCCAACUAAGUCAUACGUGAAAUCCCUCGGCUUAACCGGGGAACUGCGUCUGAUACUGGAUGGCUUGAGUUCGGGAGAGGGAUGCGGAAUUCCAGGUGUAGCGGUGAAAUGCGUAGAUAUCUGGAGGAACACCGGUGGCGAAGGCGGCAUCCUGGACCGAUACUGACGCUGAGGAGCGAAAGCCAGGGGAGCAAACGGG